AUGUAUAGUUAAGAAAUGAAUGAACACUCUUGGUAUCUGUUUGCUGUCUGUUACAGCCCCAGAGUGUCUCUGCCUCCUGUACCCCCAGGGAUACCCCCAGGCACAAUCAGUCACUCCCAAGGCCUCCUGGGCAAACAUCUGUCACUACUUUGUGUUACAAUCUGCUUACAGGGAGGACCUGGAAGCAAGGCCACCACGAGGGGAUUCUAUGAGCCAGGCACUGCACAGACCACUCUGCUUUCUUUACCCCUUCUCAACCCCUAGCCAUCCUAUGAGGUAGGUGCCAUUUUACUAACCUCCUGAGCCUCAGGGAAACUGAGCAUGGUAAUGAUGAAGAUUGUCUGCUCACCCACCUCUGGACACCCCUCAGUCUGAAGCUGCCACCCCACUCCCCACUGUAGCCCCUGC
rnacentral:lncRNA from 1 species